rnacentral:snoRNA from 1 species
GUGAAAUGAUGAUUCAGUUUAUCCAUUCGCUGAGUGCGCUGCACUGACCUUCUUCCAAGCCUGGGUUCCUGUUCUAGGAACUCUGGGUUACGUGGUUGCCAAAUGCCCUGCAGUCUGCUGUGUUCUACUGUGGACGGCUUGUGUGUUGGUGGACUACCGGUAAGAAUGGCUGGUGUCAGCAGGGAUGGGUCCCUGUGGGCUCAUCUCACCAAGAUGAGUGGUGGAAAUCUGAUCAC